ACAUUUUGGGAAAAAAGACUAGCCAGCCAAAAACAAAACGCAGUUGUGAGUUGAAAACACAGAAAUCAGCCACAUCCAAAAUGCAACUCACUCUCACAUAUUCGUUCCACUUUCAAAUUUCAAUAAUCAACUUUGAGGGUUACUCAAUGGUUUCUGUUCUUCAGCAGGCCAAUAGCAGUAGUAGUCACACAACACAUCCUCCUGCAAAAAACUGCUAAGCCACAGCAGAAAAUGGAUUAUAUAUUCCUGAUGGAGCAAGCAGCAAUAUACAAACUAAGGCUCUGAAACAACCUUUAGCCUAUCAAAGGACAUUAGGAAACAGACUCAACCAACACUGACCAUGCAAAUUUGAAUGUGAGGAUAAGAUAGACAUGCCCAGAGAAAUGUUGCAAAUCUAUUUUGUAACCUUUUUGUGCAAGAAAAUCUGAUAUGUACAAGUACAUGAAUCAGGCAGGCAUGUUAACCACCAAUUAUGGACCCUCAGAUAAAAUUACAAAUCACCUACAAGCUGAUCUAAAUAAGCUAACUGCGCAUUCGUUUCCUCAGACCUCCAUCAUCUGUAUAACCCUCCUCAAUGCAACUGCUACUAGACUCGGACCGGCAUUUUGCAUGCACAAUGGGACCUAAUUGAGACCUAUCCAUCCCAGUUGUUGACCCAGUUGGUGCAUUCAUGUAGACAGCCCC